AGAAUCUCACAAUUGGGGAGAGGGCACACAAUAUCGUGCAUUUUCUUCUUUUCUUCUCCUUCUUCCCUUUCUUUUUCUUCCAUCAAUUCAUCCAAAUUUUUUUCAACAUAAGUUCUUAAGCAGUAUAAACAUAAUCGAUGGCGACAAGAGGAGAGAGAAUAAAUCUCGU
rnacentral:ribozyme from 13 species